GACGAACGCUGGCGGCGUGCCUAAUACAUGCAAGUAGAACGCUGAAGGAAGGAGCUUGCUCUUUCCGGAUGAGUUGCGAACGGGUGAGUAACGCGUAGGUAACCUGCCUGGUAGCGGGGGAUAACUAUUGGAAACGAUAGCUAAUACCGCAUAACAGUAGAUAUCGCAUGAUAUGUGCUUGAAAGGUGCAAAUGCAUCACUACCAGAUGGACCUGCGUUGUAUUAGCUAGUUGGUGAGGUAACGGCUCACCAAGGCAACGAUACAUAGCCGACCUGAGAGGGUGAUCGGCCACACUGGGACUGAGACACGGCCCAGACUCCUACGGGAGGCAGCAGUAGGGAAUCUUCGGCAAUGGACGGAAGUCUGACCGAGCAACGCCGCGUGAGUGAAGAAGGUUUUCGGAUCGUAAAGCUCUGUUGUAAGAGAAGAACGAGUGUGAGAGUGGAAAGUUCACACUGUGACGGUAUCUUACCAGAAAGGGACGGCUAACUACGUGCCAGCAGCCGCGGUAAUACGUAGGUCCCGAGCGUUGUCCGGAUUUAUUGGGCGUAAAGCGAGCGCAGGCGGUUAGAUAAGUCUGAAGUUAAAGGCUGUGGCUUAACCAUAGUACGCUUUGGAAACUGUUUAACUUGAGUGCAAGAGGGGAGAGUGGAAUUCCAUGUGUAGCGGUGAAAUGCGUAGAUAUAUGGAGGAACGCCGGUGGCGAAAGCGGCUCUCUGGCUUGUAACUGACGCUGAGGCUCGAAAGCGUGGGGAGCAAACAGG
rnacentral:rRNA from 1 species